rnacentral:rRNA from 1 species
UCAGGACGAACGCUGGCGGCGUGCUUAACACAUGCAAGUCGAACGGUGACGAUCAAGCUUGCUUGGUCUGAUCAGUGGCGAACGGGUGAGUAACACGUGAGUAACCUGCCCCAGACUCUGGGAUAACCCCGGGAAACCGGAGCUAAUACCGGAUAUGACANCAGGUCGCAUGACCAUGGUGUGGAAAGUUUUUCGGUCUGGGAUGGACUCGCGGCCUAUCAGCUUGUUGGUGAGGUAGUGGCUCACCAAGGCGACGACGGGUAGCCGGCCUGAGAGGGCGACCGGCCACACUGGGACUGAGACACGGCCCAGACUCCUACGGGAGGCAGCAGUGGGGAAUAUUGCACAAUGGGCGCAAGCCUGAUGCAGCGACGCCGCGUGAGGGAUGACGGCCUUCGGGUUGUAAACCUCUUUCAGCAGGGAAGAAGCGCAAGUGACGGUACCUGCAGAGAG